rnacentral:tRNA from 1 species
GGCAGGGUGGGGAAGUUGGUCAUCCCGAUGGGCUCAUAACCCGUAGAUCGCUGGUUCGAGUCCAGCCCCUGCAACCA